ensembl:lncRNA
CUAGGCCAGCCACACUGAAGAAGAGUUGGGCAUCACACAGGGCUGGGCCCAGCAGGAGUCACAGCUGCCAUCCCAGAGCUAAGGUCCAUGACAGCAAGUACGUCAUCUGCUCUGUUCACCUCCCUACCCUAGGGACUGACGCAUAGUAGAUGCUCAACAUAUAUAUUUGAAUGAAUGAACAAGCUAGGGCUGAUCUCCUGGAGAUGCUUUUCCAAAUGACAAGUAUGUUGUCAACCAGAUCAGAUCCAUCCACCAGGCUCACUAUUAAAUCACAAAGAACGCCCCAAAUGAGCAACUUUGGGGACCUGUAGGAGGAGGCUGAAUCUUCUUCCGGGACCAGAACACAUUGGUUUGGACAAAGGAUGUGCGGGUUGGGGCUGCCUCUUGCCAUGCAUGCCUCACGGCCAGGAACCCAGCGAGCCUAGUGAAGCACAAGUCCUGAGGCCUGGCAGGCACCAGAGAGCUAAGCUUAAAGUUACCGCCUUGAAGCUGCAGAAGAGGAGAAGCUUCCAGAUGCAUUCUUUCACUCAAUAAGGAAGCUGCUCCACAGUGAAGAUCUCCGCCCAUCGCUCCUCAGACAGGAAGGGUGGAUCUAGGAAUCCCAUCCAAGAAAUCUGGCUUUGGAGUUCACUUUCUUAACUAUUACGGUGGCUGCUCCUCUGAAUAUCUUUUUUAAACCAAUUCACUUUUAUGUCAACUUCUUUUUUAAAAACUUGGUAUCAUGGCUAUCCAUUGAAAAGCUAUAUGACUUGCCAUAAGUAGUAGAGACAUUAAAAUGCAUCAUUAUUACACUUAAAACACAAUAUUUCCUAGAACGAGGCAUCACCGCAUGGCAGUCAGAAUGGCCAUCAUUGAAAAGUCUGCAAAUGGAAUUCCCUGGUGGCCCAGGGUUAAGAUUCCCACUACAGGGGAUGUGGGUUCAAUCCCUGGUUGGGGAACUAAUCAGGACUAACUGUUACAUGCUGUGUUGUGCAGCCAAAAAUCCAGAUCUACAAAUAAUAAAUGCUGCAG